CGAGUGGCGAACGGGUGAGUAACACGUGGGUAAUCUGCCCUGCACUCUGGGAUAAGCCUGGGAAACUGGGUCUAAUACUGGAUAUGACCUUUCUCCUUAUGGGGUUUGGUGGAAAGUUUUCGGUGUAGGAUGAGCCCGCGGCCUAUCAGCUUGUUGGUGGGGUGAUGGCCUACCAAGGCGACGACGGGUAGCCGGCCUGAGAGGGUGAUCGGCCACAUUGGGACUGAGAUACGGCCCAG
rnacentral:rRNA from 1 species